rnacentral:rRNA from 1 species
CAUACCUAUUCGAAGGGAUAGGGUCGGUUCGGCCGGGUUUCACACAGGUGUUGCAUGGCUGUCGUCAGCUCGUGUCGUGAGAUGUUGGGUUAAGUCCCGCAACGAGCGCAACCCUCAUCCUUAGUUACCAUCAGGUAACGCUGGGGACUUUGAGGAAACUGCCAGUGAUAAACUGGAGGAAGGUGGGGAUGAUGUCAAGUCAUCAUGGCCCUUAUGGAGUGGGCUACACACGUGCUACAAUAGUGGCUACAAUGGGCUGCAAAGUUGCGAGGCUAAGCCAAUCCCUUAAAAGCCAUCUCAGUUCGGAUUGUACUCUGCAACUCGAGUGCAUGAAGUUGGAAUCGCUAGUAAUCGUGGAUCAGCACGCCACGGUGAAUACGCUCUCA